CUUAGAAUAGUUAGAUUGUUAGUUAGUUCGAGAAGCCUACGGAGGCGAGUCGGGUAGAAGUUGGCUGAGUCGAGAGUCGUGGUCGGGUUUCCGCUUAGAUCCAUCCUUGGAGAAAGCUAGUCGGAUCGAGAUCAAUAGGCGGGCAAGGGUAGGAUGUUGUUUUCUCGACGUUAAGGCCAAGGUAACCGUAGUUGGGAGACCUUUGGGAAAGCAUGGACGCUGGAAACCGGUGUAGAGUUUGUUGCCUUUGUAAAGAAAUAUUUGUAAACAAGAUUUAUUGUUAUUGACUCGAUUUGGGCCUUAGGCUCUGGGAUCCCAAUCCUUUGUAAGUGUUUUCAAUGAUUUAGAUUAAUAAAAUUAGAUUUUUAUUAAAAA